rnacentral:rRNA from 1 species
GACGAACGCUGGCGGCGUGCUUAACACAUGCAAGUCGAACGGAAAGGCCCUACUUUUGUGGGGUUCUCGAGUGGCGAACGGGUGAGUAACACGUGAGUAACCUGCCCUUCACUUUGGGAUAACUUCAGGAAACUGGGGCUAAUACCGGAUAGGAGCUCCCGUUGCAUGGUGGGGGGUGGAAAUUUUCGGCGGUUGGGGAUGGACUCGCGGCUAAUCAGCUUGUUGGUGGGGUAGUGGCUUACCAAGGCUUUGACGGGUAGCCGGCCUGAGAGGGUGACCGGCCACAUUGGGACUGAGAUACGGCCCAGACUCCUACGGGAGGCAGCAGUGGGGAAUAUUGCACAAUGGGCGGAAGCCUGAUGCAGCGACGCCGCGUGCGGGAUGACGGCCUUCGGGUUGUAAACCGCUUUCGGCUGUGACGAAGCGUGUGUGACGGUACUGGGUAAAGAAGCACCGGCUAACUACGUG